UGCAGGCUGCAACUCGCCUGCAUGAAGCCGGAAUUGCUAGUAAUCGCGGAUCAGCAUGCCGCGGUGAAUACCGUUCCCGGGCCUUGUACACACCGCCCGUCACACCAUGGGAGUCGGUAACACCCGAAGCCAAUAGUCUAACCGUAAGGAGGACGUUGUCGAAGGUGGGAUUGAUGACUGGGGUGAAGUCGUAACAAGGUAGC
rnacentral:rRNA from 1 species